rnacentral:rRNA from 1 species
UGGGGAAUUUUGGACAAUGGGCGAAAGCCUGAUCCAGCAAUGCCGCGUGUGUGAAGAAGGCCUUCGGGUUGUAAAGCACUUUUGUCCGGAAAGAAAUCCUUGGCUCUAAUACAGUCGGGGGAUGACGGUACCGGAAGAAUAAGCACCGGCUAACUACGUGCCAGCAGCCGCGGUAAUACGUAGGGUGCAAGCGUUAAUCGGAAUUACUGGGCGUAAAGCGUGCGCAGGCGGUUUGCUAAGACCGAUGUGAAAUCCCCGGGCUCAACCUGGGAACUGCAUUGGUGACUGGCAGGCUAGAGUAUGGCAGAGGGGGGUAGAAUUCCACGUGUAGCAGUGAAAUGCGUAGAGAUGUGGAGGAAUACCGAGCGAGACGNGCCAGGCCCAUGCACUGACGUCAUGCACGAAAGCGUGGGGAGCAAACAGGAUUAGAUACCCUGGUAGUCCACGCCCUAAACGAUGUCAACUAGUUGUUGGGGAUUCAUUUCCUUAGUAACGUAGCUAACGCGUGAAGUUGACCGCCUGGGGAGUACGGUCGCAAGAUUAAAACUCAAAGGAAUUGACGGGGUCAUAGCUGUUUCCU